UCUGUCCCUAGACCCAUUGCAGGUAUGGCUACUGUGUCACAUGUGCAGCAGUAGGUGGCAGAGAGGAGAGAGGCUGUGUCUACACUCAGUGCUCUGACCUAUGAACAUCUGAAUGAUUAGUAGCCUAAUAUU